rnacentral:rRNA from 1 species
UUUUAAUAGAGAGUUUGAUCCUGGCUCAGGACGAACGCUGGCGGCGUGCCUAACACAUGCAAGUCGAGCGAUGAAAGAGAAAUGGAAUUCUUCGGAAUGAAAUUUUUCUGGAUUAGCGGCGAAC